rnacentral:rRNA from 1 species
UACGUAGGGCGCAAGCGUUGUCCGGAAUUAUUGGGCGUAAAGAGCUCGUAGGCGGCCUGUUGCGUCCGCUGUGAAAUCCCGGGGCUCAACCCCGGAACUGCAUUCGAUACUGCCUUGCUAGAGUACUGGAGAGGAGAUUGGAAUUUACGGUGUAGCAGUGAAAUGCGUAGAUAUCGUAAGGAAGACCAGUGGCGAAGGCGGAUCUCUGGACAGUUACUGACACUGAGGCACGAAGGCCAGGGGAGCAAACGGG